UACGAAGGGGGCUAGCGUUGCUCGGAAUCACUGGGCGUAAAGCGCACGUAGGCGGAUCUUUAAGUCAGGGGUGAAAUCCUGGAGCUCAACUCCAGAACUGCCUUUGAUACUGAGGGGCUUGAGUCCGGGAGAGGUGAGUGGAACUGCGAGUGUAGAGGUGAAAUUCGUAGAUAUUCGCAAGAACACCAGUGGCGAAGGCGGCUCACUGGCCCGGUACUGACGCUGAGGUGCGAAAGCGUGGGGAGCAAACAGGG
rnacentral:rRNA from 1 species